rnacentral:rRNA from 1 species
UACGGAGGGGGCUAGCGUUGUUCGGAAUUACUGGGCGUAAAGCGCACGUAGGCGGCUUCUUAAGUCAGGGGUGAAAUCCUGGAGCUCAACUCCAGAACUGCCUUUGAUACUGGGAGGCUCGAGUCCGGGAGAGGUGAGUGGAACUGCGAGUGUAGAGGUGAAAUUCGUAGAUAUUCGCAAGAACACCAGUGGCGAAGGCGGCUCACUGGCCCGGUACUGACGCUGAGGUGCGAAAGCGUGGGGAGCAAACAGG